AACAUAAGUCUUUGAAUGAGGAAACUUUGGCAAUCGAAAAUAAUGUUUUGGAUUCCUUCUGCUUGAUAGUGAUUACAUUGAUUGUUUGAAACAAUCCCAAGUCUUUCAAGAUGUGACGCUUCGUGCCUUCUCCAUCUACACGACACUGGCGAAGUACCAUGUGCCCAGUUGGCACAAAUUAAAGCCAUUUAAAAAAAAAAGAUGUGACGGCGCAGUAUUAUGAGUUAUGACCAAAUCUCAAUUGGUUUAUUAUUGUAAUGAAAUCUCGACUUUCACUAGUUUUCAAUUUGUCAUACCAUGGUUUAACAGAUAUCUUAUGGACAAAGGUGUAUAUUUGUUAAGAAGGGUUAAUCCAGUUAAUAAUUAAGGAGAUAUGAUCAGAUAUUAAAGCGAUGAAACUAUCAGCACAGCUUCUCCCUAAAGCCAUACUGGACAUUGAAUAUGAUGUGAUUAGCUUCAACAUACCAGUCAAGACGGACUUUUAUCAUUCUUUCAAAAAUUUUGCCAAGACAUGAAGAUAAGGAAAUUGGUAUAAAUGAGGUAGCCAGUUCUGGUGCUGUGUCUGGUUUGAGUAUUGGAUGACACUCUGAGUUUUCUAUGCCUGUGGAAUGUAGUUGUUAAGUCAAAGUAGAUUGAGGAUAUCUAAAAAUAAUUAUGGAGCCAAUUCAUCCAAACAUUAAAAAAAUUAAUACAUUAUUAAAAUUAUAACAUUAAACAUAAGGAUAGUCAUCCAUGCUAGGUGUUGUAUUACUUGUACAUUGGUAUGUGGACUCUGUUUCUGCACUUGUCUGGUCUGUUGUAGGUGGUUAUGUCUAGAUUGUAAACUUAUUGUAAAUUCUGACCAUGUAAAGGGUUUAAGUAAAACUUUAGAAUUUUGA